UAGGGAAUCUUCGGCAAUGGACGAAAGUCUGACCGACCAACGCCGCGUGAGUGAAGAAGGUUUUCGGAUCGUAAAACUCUGUUGUUAGAGAAGAACAAGGACGUUAGUAACUGAACGUCCCCUGACGGUAUCUAACCAGAAAGCCACGGCUAACUACGUGCCAGCAGCCGCGGUAAUACGUAGGUGGCAAGCGUUGUCCGGAUUUAUUGGGCGUAAAGCGAGCGCAGGCGGUUUCUUAAGUCUGAUGUGAAAGCCCCCGGCUCAACCGGGGAGGGUCAUUGGAAACUGGGAGACUUGAGUGCAGAAGAGGAGAGUGGAAUUCCAUGUGUAGCGGUGAAAUGCGUAGAUAUAUGGAGGAACACCAGUGGCGAAGGCGGCUCUCUGGUCUGUAACUGACGCUGAGGCUCGAAAGCGUGGGGAGCAAACAGG
rnacentral:rRNA from 1 species